UCUCUCUCUGUGUAUAACCUAUUUAUAUAUGCACAUGAAAUAGACACAGAGGCUCUGCUAUCUUUAGCUCUCUCCUCCUCCCACCCAUACACAGGAUGUACACUCUCAAUCGCCAGUCCCCUCAGGAUUUUCUAAGGAGUCUUAAGGAAAACAGAGAGAACAGCCAGCACAGUCUCUUUUAAAAAUCAGGGGAAAGAGAAAACAGAAAAAGGGUUUCCUGCCCUACUCCCUUCAACCCCAUGCCUCAUAUUUUCUCUUGAAGGACAGCUACUGUCAUUGUUAAUUGGGCUUAGGACACGUUGUAUUUUUCUCCGCCAAGGAUCCUAGAGAUUAUCACUAUUCCAAGCUGCUGGAGCCAAGAACGUAGAGGCUUGAGGACACGAGUAGAGAGCAGGAAGGAUGCUUGCUCUGGGCAACAUCCGUAACCAGGCAGGAAGAGCCGCCCUGGGCACGUUCAGUGGAAGCGCACCCUUUAUCCAGCUUCUUCUUCUCUUCACCCUUGGAGGCCUUCUUUGGUUUCUCUGUCAUAGCAUCCAACCAGAGGGGGAUUUCUGUGGUUUUAAGCCCAGUUAGCAAAACGGAAGCGACUGAACUGGAUGAGCUGGUGAAGGCUCCCAAUCAUCAGCGAGCAAGAAAGAGCGCCAGACCUGGAGUCCACACGGCAGCUUGCUGCUCCAUGUGCGGCCUGGGGAGGCCUUGCCCACUCUCUGCCUCAGUUUCCUCGGCUGUCAGAGGCCGCGGGUUGGACUAGGUGAUCUCUCAUCUCCCGUUCAAAAAGGAAAACCCAACCCAACCCUCUGAACGGAUGACCUCAAUAGCACCAUCACUGCCAACCCAUGGUGGCUGGCUAAGGCACCUCCCCACACUUUUUCCUUUCCAAGAGCUAAAAUCACUGUCUUUUCAGCUCUUCUCCAUACAACAAGAGGGGGCGGGUAAACAAAGAUGACUUUCUGAAUUGCUUAGUUAGAAAACCCGAGGCCUGACCAAAGAUCUGAAUAAAAGUGCCGGGGAGAAAAAAUCAGAGUUUGUCUAAUUUCUGUUUUGAGGGCUGGCCCAGGGUUCUACAUGAAAUUGGCGCUCAAUGAGUAUGAUGAGUGGAUGAAUGGGUCAAGAAGGUACAGGAACCCAAUGAAGGGAAGUGAGAAAAAGAGAGGAUUCCCAAGAAGUCAUCAAGCCACCUUGGCCCACUCUGCAGGUACCCCAUCCCCCGAUGGCCAGACUGACCCGAAGGGAUGCCAGAAUUCAAGGACGCGGAGUCAGACGAGUCCUAUGAUGGCAAAAAACCAGAUGGAGAGAAGCAAAAGCACCUGCAUGUGCAACCUGUGAGGGACGUGGCUAGGCCACUUCUGGAGCCAUCCAGAGAGGGAAACGGGGCGAGAUGCUCCCCUCGGUAGCACUUACUCCACCAUGUUCUCAGCCCCUAUUCCGAGCCUGGAUGAACGCUUUAUCUCUUUGGCAAAGGAAUCAGGAUCUGUAAGAGCUAAAGUAACCCCAGCGAGCUCCGAGGAACAAUGGGGACAUUAAUGUUGCUCUUAACCGUGAAGCCGGGAUAUUGAUAUCACACUUGUAAAAAGCAAUUUUUAGCCCUUGUGAAAGGCACCGUCUGACUGCCCAGACACCGAGGUCUUUUAUUCAUCAUACAGAGAGCACAUUAAUAGCCAUGUAUGCAAAGGAGCAGCCGAGCAAGUGGCAAGAUGAAGCUGCUGAAUAAUCAUGCUAACCUCAUCAACAGGCAGUGGGAGCCCACUCUCAUUUCCUUUAUUCUCACAGGGCUAAUUCCAACAAUUAAACCGGUGAGGGUUGAAGUAUUAUGGUCCACAAACUUCUCAACAGAAGAUGGAGGCAUAAUAAAGGGAAAAGGACAUGAUUGCAAAAGGUAAGAUGGGUCCAAAAGUGGGACACGGCGGUGGGGAGGAGGGGAGAAAGAAAGUCACCUGGAGCCUGACACGGACCACACUUGGAAAUAAAUCAAUUACCUGAGUGAGAUGAAGGCAAUUGAUGGAAACUUAAUAACUCGUGAAAAGGAAAUCAUCAUUGGUCCAAGCCAGGCCCUUCUUCACCUGGGCCGUGGUGUCCAGAUGGCUUCUGUUGAUUCCUACUUUACAUACCUGUGUUGUCAUGUCCCAAUUCUUGCUCACGCAUUUAACUGUGAUGAAAUCCAUUACCGAAGGAUUGAACAGAGGAGACUAUUACCAAGUCCUCCGUGGUGCUUAGGUUUUCUUUCAGUCUGAGAGGUCAACUCACUUUCUCCAUUUCUCUCCUCCCCCUGGAUCCCCCAAGACAUCUAGUGAAAAAGCCUUUCGAGGUUGGAUCUUCUGUCGCCAUUUUCAGUGAACGCCCCAGACCCAGAGACAAUUUGAAUCUGGAAACUGAGAAAAAAGGGGAUAAUCUGGAGGAAACAUCACCGUCCUUCCAGUCAUCCAGUUGUAUAAAUCUAGAUGGACUCCUCGAUUGACAUCUUUGAUUCUUCUAUCCUCAAUUUCCAAGACACUGUCAAGUCUUACUAAUUCUCUUACCAAAAGAGCUCUUUCACCUCCCUGGCUCUUUGCCCACAGACUCUCUCUAUCCUAUUCAAGCCCUCCUCAGCCUUCACCUAGACCCAUUGCAACAGCCUUCUUCCUUUUGAUCUCUAUUUCCCUUGACCACCAUUCUCCGCACAGUUGCCAAAUGACAAUUUCCAAGACAGAAGAUUGACCUACUGAGAAAUCUUAAAAAUAAAUCAAAGCAAUUAAAAAAUAAAAA